AUGCCUAACACAUGCAAGUCGAACGCGUGGUUUCGGCCACGAGUGGCGCACGGGUGAGUAGCGCGUGGGUACCUGCCCUUGGGUACGGAAUAACCGCGGGAAACUGCGGCUAAUACCGUAUACGUCCCCCAGGCGAGAGUUUGGGGGAGAAAGAUUUAUCGCCCAAGGAGGGGCCCGCGUCCGAUUAGGUAGUUGGUGAGGUAACGGCUCACCAAGCCGAUGAUCGGUAGCUGGUCUGAGAGGAUGAUCAGCCACACUGGGACUGAGACACGGCCCAG
rnacentral:rRNA from 1 species